rnacentral:rRNA from 1 species
UGGGGGAUAUUGCACAAUGGGCGGAAGCCUGAUGCAGCAACGCCGCGUGAAGGAAGACGGUUUUCGGAUUGUAAACUUCUGUUCUUAGUGAAGAAAAAAAUGACGGUAGCUAAGGAGCAAGCCACGGCUAACUACGUGCCAGCAGCCGCGGUAAUACGUAGGUGGCAAGCGUUGUCCGGAAUUACUGGGCGUAAAGCGCACGCAGGCGGCGUGACGCGUCAGAAGUGAAAUCCCCGGGCUCAACCUGGGAACUGCUUUUGAAACGGUCAUGCUUGAAUCAUGGAGAGGGUAGCGGAAUUCCGAGUGUAGAGGUGAAAUUCGUAGAUAUUCGGAAGAACACCGGUGGCGAAGGCGGCUACCUGGCCAUGUAUUGACGCUCAGGUGCGAAAGCGUGGGGAGCAAACA